CUACUACUCCGUUCAUCCGAAAAAGUCUGUCCCUCAAAUGGAUGUAUUUAGUACCAAGUUAGUGCUACAUACAUCCAUUUGAGGGACAAAUUUUUUCGGAUGGAGGGAGUACUUA
rnacentral:pre_miRNA from 1 species